CCUACGGGAGUCAGCAGUGAGGAAUAUUGGUCAAUGGACGCAAGUCUGAACCAGCCAAGUAGCGUGCAGGAUGACGGCCCUCCGGGUUGUAAACUGCUUUUAGUUGGGAAUAAAAGGGGGCUCGUGAGCCCCGUAUUGUAUGUACCAUCAGAAAAAGGACCGGCUAAUUCCGUGCCAGCAGCCGCGGUAAUACGGAAGGUCCGGGCGUUAUCCGGAUUUAUUGGGUUUAAGGGGAACGUAGGCCGGCUUUUAAGUCAGCUGUGAAAGUCCGCGGCUCAACCGUGGAAUUGCAGUUGAAACUGGAGGACUUGAGGGCACACAGGGAUGCCGGAAUUCAUGGUGUAGCGGUGAAAUGCUUAGAUAUCAUGAAGAACUCCGAUCGCGAAGGCAAGUGUCCGGGGUGCAACUGACGCUGAGGCUCGAAAGUGCGGGUAGCAAACAGGAUUAGAUACCCCGGUAGUC
rnacentral:rRNA from 1 species